rnacentral:rRNA from 1 species
GUUUGAUCCUGGCUCAGGAUGAACGCUAGCGACAGGCUUAACACAUGCAAGUCGAGGGGCAGCAUGAUUUGUAGCAAUACAGAUUGAUGGCGACCGGCGCACGGGUGAGUAACGCGUAUGCAACUUACCUAUCAGAGGGGGAUAGCCCGGCGAAAGUCGGAUUAAUACCCCAUGAAACAGGGGUCCCGCAUGGGAAUAUUUGUUAAAGAUUCAUCGCUGAUAGAUAGGCAUGCGUUCCAUUAGGCAGUUGGCGGGGUAACGGCCCACCAAACCGACGAUGGAUAGGGGUUCUGAGAGGAAGGUCCCCCACAUUGGUACUGAGACACGGACCAAACUCCUACGGGAGGCAGCAGUGAGGAAUAUUGGUCAAUGGCCGAGAGGCUGAACCAGCCAAGUCGCGUGAAGGAAGAAGGAUCUAUGGUUUGUAAACUUCUUUUAUAGGGGAAUAAAGUGGAGGACGUGUCCUUUUUUGUAUGUACCCUAUGAAUAAGCAUCGGCUAACUCCGUGCCAGCAGCCGCGGUAAUACGGAGGAUGCGAGCGUUAUCCGGAUUUAUUGGGUUUAAAGGGUGCGUAGGCGGGCUUUUAAGUCAGCGGUAAAAUUGCGGUGCUCAACGCCGUAGAGCCGUUGAAACUGGGAGCCUUGAGUGAGCGAGAAGUAGGCGGAAUGCGUGGUGUAGCGGUGAAAUGCAUAGAUAUCACGCAGAACUCCGAUUGCGAAGGCAGCUUACUAAACCAUAACUGACACUGAAGCACGAAAGCGUGGGGAUCAAACAGGAUUAGAUACCCUGGUAGUCCACGCAGUAAACGAUGAUUACUAGGAGUUUGCGAUACAAUGUAAGCUCUACAGCGAAAGCGUUAAGUAAUCCACCUGGGGAGUACGCCGGCAACGGUGAAACUCAAAGGAAUUGACGGGGGCCCGCACAAGCGGAGGAACAUGUGGUUUAA